CGACCCCAGGUCAAGCGGGACUACCCGCUGAAUUUAAGCAUAUCAAUAAGCGGAGGAGAAGAAACUUACAAGGAUUCCCCUAGUAACGGCGAGCGAACCGGGAACAGCCCAGCUUGAGAAUCGGACGGCUUUGCUGUCCGA
rnacentral:rRNA from 1 species